CUACGGGGGGCACCAGUGGGCAAUAUUGGACAAUGGGCGCAAGCCUGAUCCAGCAAUGCCGCGUGAGUGAAGACGGCCUUAGGGUUGUAAAACUCUUUCGCUAGGGAAGAUAAUGACUGUACCUAGUAAAGAAGUCCCGGCUAACUCCGUGCCAGCAGCCGCGGUAAUACGGGAGGGGACUAGCGUUGUUCGGAAUUACUGGGCGUAAAGAGUUCGUAGGCGGACUGACAAGUUAGAGGUGAAAUCCCAGGGCUCAACCCUGGAACUGCCUUUAAAACUGUCAGUCUAGAGACCGGAAGAGGUUAGGGGAAUACCUAGUGUAGAGGUGAAAUUCGUAGAUAUUAGGUGGAACACCAGUGGCGAAGGCGCCUAACUGGUCCGGUACUGACGCUGAGGAACGAAAGCGUGGGGAGCAAACAGGAUUAGAUACCCCUGUAGUC
rnacentral:rRNA from 1 species